GACAGUUAAUACAUCAAAACCUUAAUGGCUGAAAACAUACCUCCUUUCUCAUGACUGCCUCGCAUUAUGAGCUUUCAAAUAACAAAUUGUAAUCUAUUAUUUAUUAAUUUAUCAUAUUUUAGUGGUUCAUCGUUAAUUUUUCCUUUAUACAUUUUUUUGUAAUUGAAUUGAAUUUACAUUUGUUUUCUAGUUUUAUAUUAAAACAUUAAGAUUUAAGGGACGAAACUAAAAAAGCAGAGGGACCUUAAUGCUCAAAAAUCUAUUAUCUACAAGAAAGUCCUGUUAGUCCUUAAAAAGGAACAAUGGCCUUCUCCGUUAGCCCCAUAACUGAAAACGAUGUAGAGGCUGUGCUGAAAUUUAUGAAACGGACAUUCUAUGUAGAUGAGCCCAUUUACAAGGCUGUAGGGUACUGCACGUCUGAGAAUGAUGACACAUUUGAUUCAGACGAAUAUUGCAGGCACAUUUUACCGGGAGUGUCCUUUCAAGCAAAGGAUAACGAUGGCAACAUUAUCGGUGCACUUUUAUGUGACAUUUGUCCGGUUGCAAAUCCGACAAUUUAUACACACGCUCUAAGAGAUUGCCGAUCUCCAAGAUAUAAAACAAUUAUUCAAAUGUGUAUAGUUCGUGAAAUGCUAACAGAAAUUUGGAGCAAGUUUCCCAAUGACGUGAACUUGAUUGAAGUCAAGAUGGCGUCUACUGACUCUCAAUGGCGGAACAAAGGAGUCAUGAAUCGGUUAAUGAUUGAAGUUGAAUAAAUUAUAAUAUAUACGUACAAACUGCCUAACAAAUUGGCCACAGAGUACUGUCAUCUAUAGUACUAAGGAGACUGCUACUGCCUCGCAAUUUGCGUAAAAGUGCCUUUUGAUGACGGAUGGCACGGAAGUCAUCUGUUAGAGCAUGUGCAAACACAUGAGGCACUGCAAAAGCGUGGCCGUGCCAAAAGAAUCGUAAAGGAAUGCAGCAAAAGAAAAUAAUAUUCGAUUACUCCGUAUGGAAACCUCAAGUGCGUACUCCGCCAAAUCGGCAGAAAGGCGUGGAUUUAAGUGUAUUUUCAAACGACUUUAUACUGAUCUACAGUUCGACGGUAAACCGUUCAUUGUAACCGAACCACCUCAUGUAGACGAUCGUGUAUAUGUGAAGGAACUAUUUUAAUUGUUUGUUUCAGUACUUUGUAAAUAAAUACUCGUUUUAUAGA